rnacentral:lncRNA from 1 species
UUCAAUGAUUUGAUGGAAAGCAAUCUUUGAAGCUUCCGAAACCACAAAUUCCUUAGAGCAGAGGAAUUCUGUGGUGGGAAGGGUACUAGGAGCACGGUAACCGACUCGUCCAGGUUGACCAAAUUUGUUGAUCUUCUCCAAAAGCUCAGAUAUAUCCAGAAUUUUCUUCAUUGCUUGCUUGCUUAAUUGAUAUCUCCAACUCCAAUUAGGACACCAAUUGAGACACCUCUUAUUCUGUUGAAUUUCCAUCUCCAAAGUUUCCACAUUCGAUAGGAUUUCCACUGCCUUCCUUUGCAGAUCCCCUACAUCAUCUUCAACAUGUAAAAGCUGCCUUUCAGCAACCUCAGUCUCACGCUGCAGACGAGUUCGUGCCCUUACAAGUUCACCUUUUUUUUCCACCAGCUUUUCAACAUUGUCAUGAAAGUGGCGGACAUAAUCAAGUUGACGUCCCACCGGCUUUACCACAUAGUCCACAAUUAGUGUUCCAACGGCGUUAGCAAGAGCAGAGUCGCAAAAUUCACAACCCAUUCUUGACAAGCUUGAUUGAAGAAUACGAUUUUCCAAGUUCAAACACUGUAGCAAAUCAUAAGUAAUUAUCAUUAGAAAAGAAUAUUAAAGAACUAAAAAAUGUUGAAGAUGAACACCUACUUCUUAGACAUACCACGCAAGGUGAAAGACAAUUCCAAGUAUGAAAAUUAAUCGGCUUUUAUUCGAUUCAGUCCAGCUGCAGAGAAAACACAAAAAGUGAAUACUAUGAUAAACUUAUACCGACAGCAGAAUUGAUAUGAUGCCAAACUAAAAAUAAUUUUAUACCAUAGAAAUUUUGUAAGUAUGGUACAGAAUUGGUGAGAUAAGUAGAAAGAAAGAAGACUUAGUGGAGAAGCUUUUAUUACAUUUUCUUUGUUGCUUAUCAAUUCAUACUAGUUAACCAAAACAAAUAUACGAGUGUAAUGCCACCAAAUUUUAGCUUUGAUUGCUUCAAGAAAAAAAACAGAAUAAGAGAUUAUUAGAUCAAGAAAUAUAUAUAUGUAUCUAAACACAAUUAAGAAAUGAAGCAUAUAUAAAUAGCUUUACCUCACUUGAGAACUUCAAAAUCAAACUAGACUUGGUGCUGAGAAAAUGCUCCACUAGUUGAAAACAAUCAAAAGGGUUUGAAGAUUAGGUAUUUUUUGGAAUAAAAGAAAGUAAAAACUGAACACAAAGAGUAAACUUGAAGAUUUUUUUUUUUUUUUUUUUUUUGGCUUUAUGGAAAGGGGAAAUAGAAAAGAAGAGAGAUGAAGGUAGCACUAAAAUGAUGAGAAACCUUGACAAAGAAAUUGGAGUUUAUGUGCUUGGACAAUUCCAACACUGGAGAAUAUAAGGUAGGAUUUCUUGGUUUUGGUUUAGCCAAAGGAUUCGUGUUAUGAGAUUACUGUCAAUUGUAAAUUAAAGUUUCAACAAACAAUCAAUGGAUCAAAUUAUUAGUAGUUGCUUUUUAGUGGAUUGACUGGUUGAUUUGUCAAUGGCCCCAUGCAUUGAUUUCUUUUUUAAAAAUAAAAGUUAAAGAAAUAAAUUUGAAAAAUAUCUAAAAAAGAAAAGUGUUGGGACGAAAUUUUGGCCUAGUUUACGCUUGUUUUGUCGGUAAAGCAAACCUAAAUAGCGCCACUAGAAAAUGUUUAGUCUUUGCUCUCACAUUUUCACUGCAUUUAAAAAUAUGUAUUUUCUAUUGACAAAAAUAAUCUAUCUUCUUAAUUUCCAUUUGCUAUGGAAUGAAAAUUAGUUUUCCUUAAUUCAUUUUUAUUCAUUUAAAGUUAUCAUAUUUUUAUUGUUUUGUAAAUGUAUAAUGAUAAACUUAAUCCUUAACGUUUAUAUCUUUUUGUUAAUUUAGCCAUUAAUCUUAUAAAAAGAAUUGAAUUGUUGUUUUUUAACAGAAAUAUUAACUAAAAUAUUAUUUUUUUUACAUGGCAGCCCGCAUGAUAAUUCAUGUGUGCUUUAUGCUAAUUUUUAUAAUUACUUAUCAAUUUUUAUUUUUAUUUUUAAAUUAAUCGUUGGUGUGGCAUAUAAGAAAAAUAGUGUCGUGCCACGCAAGGUAUCAUGUCAAUACAUUAAAAAAAUUAAUAUUUUUAUAUAUUAAAAAAAUUGCUUGAUUGACAAUGGAAUAAAAUUUCAUUCAUUAUUAUGAAUACUAAUAAAACUAUCAAAUGUUUUUAUAACCACUCCAUUUUCAAUGGUAUAAGAUUUUUCAUUGUCAAUAAGAUUUUUUAACUUUUUCACAACAUCAUUAAAUAUUAUAUAUUAAAUUUUGGUUUUCAAAAAUUUAAAAACUCUAAAAAUAAAAAAAAAUUAAAAUCAAAAUUACAAUUACAAUUUAAAUAUAAUUUAUAUUAUCUUAUCCUUUAUUAAAAUGAUGUUACAUUUCUUUGAUAUUGUAAUUCAAAUAUGAAUUACUACUCUUUUUUAAGAUACUGCAUUACUCUCUUAAGAUACUACUUAAAAGCAAUGAUUUAGUUGAAUCCAAAUUGGUUUACUAUUUAAUAAUAUUAAUAACAUAAUUAUUAAAAGUAAAACUUUAAAAGAAAAAUAAACUAACUUAAAAUGAAAAUUAGGUCAAAUUAUUAGUUUGUAAAUCACAAUAAGCCCAAGGCUAAAACCAAAAAAUAAAAUAAAAUAUGAAAACUUAAAUCUACUCUUUAAUUGUUAUAAUUGUUGGAUACUAAUGCAUCUAUAUGCUAAAUUUAGUUUUAGUUGGUAUUUAAUUGUAAUAUUAAUUAAAUAACUUAUAAUUAUUAAUAUAAAAUAAUAAGUGUAAUUUAUUACAAAUAAAAAUAAAUAACUGAUUAAUGGAAUUAUUAUAAUCUAUUCUUAGAAUGAUGCUACCCCCAACCCCCAAACCCUUCCAACUCCACCAACUUUGCUAACUCAUUUGCCCGGAUAAACAUCAUCUUGCCAACAACAAUCCCCCCACAAACCAAACUAUCAUAGCCAACACCUAGCCUGAUAAGAUAUUGUCCAUUUUGGGCACACAUGUCUUUCACGAAUUUGUUCUCGGGAGCGACCAUAGACCCCCAAAAGACUUCUUACCACUUAAGUGUUGCUACCUCUUUAUAUAGUCUAGACCUUUCCUGUGCUUUGCUGAUGUGGGAUUUACCUAGGGUGUUACAUUCACCCCCUUAGGGACUCAACGUCUUUGCUGAGGUUUGCCCCACCAUUGCUUAAAAGGCACGACAAGUGGCUCUAAUACCAAUAAAUGUCAUAGCCAACACCCAACUCGGUAAGAUGUUGUCCACUUUGGGUGUACAUGGCCCUCACGGAUUUGUUCUUGGAAGCGUCCACACACACCCAAAAGGCCUCUUAUCACUUAUGUAAUGGCCUAAAUUCAAGGUUAUCGGAACACUGGGUUUCGGGACCACAAAUCCGAUGAGGAAAAAAUUAUUUUUCUUAUAUUUUUAUGGUCUACGAUUUCAAAAAAUGAUUUCGUGAAAAUUUCAUUUGAAAAUUUGUCCGUUUGGGCACUCAAUUUAGUCAAAAGGACUAAAUUGUAAAAAGUGUAAAAGUUGAGUUCUACAUGUUAGCGGUGUCCAAUUGUUAUGAAACUUUAAAUUGGAUGUCCUUAUAUGGUAAUUAGACCAUUGGUUAAGUUGGUAGAUAAAAAUGGACAUGAGAUAAGUGAAAUAGGAAAUUUUUAAGUUAGGGGCAAUUUUGUAAUCUAGUAAUAAAAAGAAUUAAAAAGGGAAAAAGAUGGCCAAAAAUAUCAUCUUCUCCAUGGUGAACGAAAUCAGCAAGGGAGAAGCCCUAUUUAGGGUUUUCAAGGUUCCAAGCUCCAUAGUAAGUGUUUUAGGGUGAUGAAUAGGGUAAUUUGCCCUAGUUAAAAUUUAAAUCUCGAUCCAAAAAUUAAAUAAAAAUAAAAUUGAAAAGAUUUAAACAUAUAAACAAUGAUUAAUAACCAUACUGAUAAUAUUUAGUAGAAAAAAAAUAAAAUAUAUUAUAUGUUGUAAUUAAUUAUAAAACUAACAUAUUUGUUUAUCACGUACUAUUUUAAAUCAUCAUAACAAAUAAAAUCAUACAACAAAAGAUUUUUGUAGAUUAGAAAAUUUGUUUUAUUUACUUAUUGACUCUAGCUAUUGUUUAGUUGUUUAAUAUUAUGAUUUAAUCGUUUGAGGAAAAAUAUUUUAUAUAAGAUAUUCAAACAUUAAAAAAUAUGAACUGUUUUAAAUAAAGUAAUUUUUCCAAAGUGGUUUAAUGAAACAACUACCAGAGGUUCACAAUGGAUGGAUUUUCAGGUAACCUCCUUUUAUAUAAUUGCCUUCAUUCACUUGAAUCUUCGUAUUCAAAAAGUUGUUCAUCAAUGUCUUCUUCAGUGUUCUGCACUCCAACUUAUGUUGCUACCAGCUGGCCAUGUAGUUUCCUGAGCUGUAGCAGAUUCUUCCACUAUAGUUUCAUCAACUGAUUGGCUUGCCUGCAAAACGAAUUAAAGCUUGACAUAUUACUGUUUGUUAAUGAUGAAAAUAUUGCAUGAAUUCAUAGAAAUUAAAGAGUUGGGGUGAAUACACAGAAAAGAAUUCAAUAGAUGAACAUUAGUUUGGGAGAGAAGUGCACCUGUGUUUCGGCAUGCACUGAUUGCUCUGAAUCAACACUAAACCUGGUGGUUAGGUUGGGACAACCUUCUACGUUUAACACCACCAAAGAUGGGAAAACAAAAUGAUAACCUACAGGGCUGAAGCUCAUGAGGUUUGGUAGCCUACCAAGGUCUAAGUCGGUUAAUUGUGGUAGGUGUAUCACUUUCUCUUCAUCCUUACUCACAUUUGCUUCAUCUCCUUCGAACACCUGCUCUAAUUUGGGGACGUUUACAAGCCUUAUUGUCUUCAAUUUUGGAAGGCCACCAUGGGCAGAAGUAAUCGGAAAGAGAUAUUUCAAGUUUUCACAAUUAUCUAUUAUAACUUCAGCCAGACAAGGGAAGCAAAUAGGUUGGAGAUGAUGUUGUGAUGACUUUUGAUCCUUGUCAAUAAUUUGCUCCAAUUCCUCACAACAAGAUAUAUGUAACUGGCUCAGUCGUGGCAAAUUUCGAGCAAUGGUAGGUGAGAAGAUGUAUCUUAAGCUUAUACAGUCUCCAACAUUCAAUUCAGUGAGAUUUUGAAAGUUUACAGCUUGGAUGGGACCAUUCCAUAUCACUCGCAAUUCGGUUAGUCCAAACAAAUUUAGGAACUUCAGGCUUGAAAGGUUAUAACUAGAAUCAAAUAACUCUCUAAAAUUGGAAAUUUUUAAAUAUUCCAUACUUACUGAUGAUCCUCCUUCCCCCAUCAUGUUGCUCAUUUUCUUCCUUUCUUCCAUCCUCCGAAGGGUCAAUUUCUAUAAACAUAUCAUCAAUCAUCAAUUUCAAAAUGUUGAAAGCAAUGAACAACUUAUCACUCAUUUUGUUAAUAAAUUUUCUUACAUAGCAUUUAUUAAUUUUAAAAAAAAUCAAAUUAUUCAAGUUUAAACGCUUUUGUACGAAUUCUUUUAUCUAAUUCUUUUUCCUUCAAGAAUAAGCCCAAUUUUUUUUUUCCUAUCUUUUAUAGCCAAUUAUAUCAAAUUACAAAAAACUAGAUGAAUCAUUAGACCAAAACUAUAAAAUAAUAUACAAGCAUUUGUAUAGUUCAGAAAGUAAAUUAUCAAGAGGGGAAAAUCAAUAAAAGAUUAAUAAACAAUAUAUAAAACUUACUUGUAUUUUAGUUGAAAUGAUAAAAGGUGUCAAUCCGGGACAAUUCACCACUUUUAACUUCUGCAAUGAUGAAAGGGUGAGCACAAUCUCGUUUCCAUCCCUUCCUUUGAAUUGAGGUAAAUUUCCCAACACAACCUCAUUCAGUAGAGGAAGACCUUGAGCCAUUGAGAUUGGAAAAGUGUCUUCCAAUUGAAGGCAAUCGUAAAUUUCAAGUUUUGUCAAACUUUUCAAUAUGUGACCAUGGGACAAUGAGGAAAGAGAUGUCAACUUGUUGCAUCCAUGUACAAAUACUUCCAUUAGACUAUGGAGACAUACGUUGGAUGCCUCUUUUGCUUUGAUUAUCUCUUCCAAUCCAAAGCACCAACUUAUUUGUAGAGUUCGCAAUCCCCCAAGGCUAUUAGCAAUAGACAUUGGGAAGAGAUACCUCAAAUUAUUGCAGUUUACAACUUUUAUUUCCUUUAAACAUUGAAGGCUUAUGUUUGACACUUGUGGCUCUUGGAUUAUUUCUUCUAACUGGGAGCAGUUGCUUAUCUCCAGAGUUUGCAAAUUGGACGCACUUAGAAGUUUUGGAAAGCCUCCAUGAGCAACAGUAAUCGGGAAGAGACAUUUUAAGUUUUCACAAUUGAAGAUACUAAUCUGAGUCAAAUUAGGAAAGCAAAUAGGUUGGAGUCGAUGAUCAUGUGAUGAAGUUUGAUCCUUCUCAGUAAUCUGCUCCACUUCUUCACAAUUAAAUAUAUCUAUAUUGCUCAAUUGCUCACUUGUUAUUCUCCGUAGCUCCAAUUUCUAUAAACAAAUCAUUUCAAAAUGUUUAAAGAAAGUGAACAACUUAUCAUUUUACUAAUUAAUUUCUCUUACAAAUCAUAAAAAGUCUCUUAAUGAAAUUUUAUCUGAGUUAUUAAAUGGUAUUAUAGUCAGCUAACUGUAAUUUGGAUUAGUUUGUAGACCAAAAUUAUAAAAUGAAAACUAUGUAUCCUUUAAACAGCUAUGCAAGCAUUUUCUCAAUUGGGAUAACCAAUUAUUAGCAAGGGAAAAAAAAGAAAGAAAAGGAAGCAAUUCAAUUAAUAAUUAAUAAUUUAUAAAUCUUACUUGUAUUUUAGCCGAAAUGAUAAGAGGUGUCAACCGGGGACAAUCAUCCACUAGUAACUCCUGCAACCUGUGACCAUGGGACAAUGAGGAAAGAGAUGUCAACUUAUUGCAUUCACUUACUCUUAUUUUCCUUAGACUUUGGGGGCUUAUGUUUAACACUUCUGUCCCUUGUAUUAUUUCUUCCAAUUGUGAGCAUCUCCGUAUAUCCAGAGAUUGCAAUUGCCCAAGGCUAUUAUUAGCAGCUGACAUUGGGAAGAGAUAUUUCAAACUGUUGCAGUCACUUAUUUGUACAACCUUUAGGCUUUGGAGGCUUAAAUGAUGAUUGGGCCACUGUUCUAUGCUCCUCAAUUCAACAGUCUGGAAUAGCACUUGCAUUUUACCACAUUGAUGAACUUGAAGCUCUUCAAGAUUUUGUAAAAUUGGAAUUGCACCAAUCAUUUCAUUGCAAUCCCUUAAGGACAAGGUUUCUAACUUUUGUAAGAAACCUUGUGGUUGAGGGCCAUUGCACAGCUCUUCUAAAGCAAGCAUAGAUGCUAAUGAUAAGCUUCUCAAAUUAGAGAAUGCAGUGGUUGGCACCUGUUGCUUUGAUGCAUCAAUUAGGCAUUUCAUACCAUUGCAACUACGAAGAUCUAGAGAAGCCAACUUACUGAUUUCCAACUCCAAGCUUGGAAUAAGGUUUGGAGAGCCCUGCACUCCUAUCAGGUCAAGAGAUUCUACAUCUUCAAAUAGUUGCUUGCAUGCAUCUAUGGACUCUUUAAAUAUUGUCAAAGAUCUUGAGAUUGGACAAGGUUCAAAUGGCGUCCUCCAAACCAAACUAAUGAGAACAUCAAAUCUCCAUAAUUUAGGAAACACAAAGCCAUCUGAAAGAUAUUGAGGAUACAAAUCCAACGAUAGUACACCCAACUUGGGCAAUAAAUUCAACUCUGAUAGGCUAGAAUAGCAUUCUUUUUCAGUUGUGUUCUCAGUCGCCCAUAUUAUUGAGCUAGAACCAUGCAAGUAUAGUUCUUCUAAACUGGACAAUCUUUGUAUUAAUCGAUGAGGGAUUCUUCGUAGGUUUGUGCAAUUUGACAACUCCAAAAGUCUUAGAUUUUCUAAAUCACCAAUUUCGUUCGGCAAUUCAGAGAUAAGAGAUCCACUUAAGGAAAAAAUCUCAAGUGUCUUCAACUUCCCAACCAUUGAGAUGUCAGAGAAUCUACAGUUACACAACUUCAAUGUUUUAAGGUUCAUUUGGAAUUGAAAUGCAACUGGAGAUAACAAUAGAUCAGCCAAAGUACAAGCUUUUAAUGCUUUCAUACCCUCAAAGAAUUCACUUGAAGUUUCCAUGCGACCCUUACCUGUUCCACCAAGUAAAAGAAAUUUGAGAUUUGGGAAAACCAAUCCUUCGGGAAGUUCACCCAUUUGAUCACGGUUGAAGGAGAUUGCUAUGAAAUGCUUGAAACUUUCAUCCAUCGGCAAUGUUCCAACACUCGCAAAAGAAAACUCCUCUCUGGAGGAUGCAAUCCAUAAAGCAACUUCACGAACCACAUCAUGCAUUUUGACAUGCCCUUUUCUUCUGCAAUCUAACAACAAACAAGAGUUCUUGAGGAUCUCAGUCGAUGCAAGCACUUCACUUCUAACUUUUUCAAUUGAGUUGAUACCUUUAUACAACUCCAAUCCCCAUGCAUAUCUCACCAAGUCCUCCACAUAAAUCUCAUAAUCUUCGGGAUAUAAAGAGCACAAUAAGAAACAAGUCUUCGUCUCCAUACCCUUCAAGUAAUCGAAGCUCGCCUCAAGACAUAGAUAAGCAUUUUCUUCAUUAACAUCUUCAAUUUCAGUUAAUCUACGACCUUUGAGUCUCCGAUAUGCCGCUUUCCACUCGUGACAACUUUUACCUUUCAAAGCACUUCCCAACGAAACUAUAGCAAUGGGCAAACCUUGGCAUUUUCUGAUGAUUUUAGUUGCCACCUUUCUAAUAGCGUCAUCAGCAGAGCCAUUUAAACUUGCUUUCGUUGCAAACAAAUUCCAAGCUUCAUCGCCAUCUAAACAACCCAGUUGUACCACCUUUUGACAAUCCAUAGCAAGGCAUACUUGUUGACGGCGUGUUGUUAAAAGAACUUUGCAACCUUUAUGAUCUUCGCCAGUCGGAAUUCCUAUCUUCUCCUUUAAGUUGAUAUUUGUCCAAAUAUCAUCAAGGAUAAUAAGAAUCCUCUGUUCCUUCUUCAGUCUCAACCAUAAAUCUUGCACUGAUCUUCUUCCUCGUUCAUUCUUCAUAUCAAAGUCUAUGAAUUGUGCAAUUUGAUCUUGAAUUACUUCGAAGUUUGGAUUUUGAGACACAGUUGUAAUCACAACUUUAUUGAACAAAUUCAGUUUUUCAGCUUGAUUUCCAACUUCACGAGCCAAGGUGGUUUUGCCCACCCCUCCCAUCCCCCACAAUCCAAUCAUGCUGAUAUUGUCAUCUUGUAGGGCUUCAAUGAUUUGAUGGAAAGCAAUCUUUGAAGCUUCCGAAACCACAAAUUCCUUAGAGCAUAGGAAUUCUAUGGUGGGAAGGGUACUAGGAGCACGGUAACCGACUCGUCCAGGUUGACCAAAUUUGUUGAUCUUCUCCAAAAGCUUAGAUAUAUCCAGAGUUUUCUUCAUUGCUUGCUUGCUUAGUUGAUAUCUCCAACUCCAAUUAGGACACCAAUUGAGACACCUCUUAUUCUGUUGAAUUUCCAUUUCCAAAGUUUCC